rnacentral:lncRNA from 1 species
AAAUUUUUUUUCUUAGAUUUUUUUUUUCUAGAACCUUCUUCUUUUGAAUCGGAUUUUGUGUCGGAUAGGCUUUGGUUUAUUAAUGUGAAAAGAGCCACGAUUAUUUUCGAGGUCGAUGAGCGAUUGCUUGAUUUUCACAUUUUAUUA